UUUACAACGUUUUUGUUUGUUUGUUUCGUUUUUCUCUCUUUUCAAAUCAUCAUUCUUCUUUCUUCACGAAUUGAAAUAUUCGAUUCAAGUAACAGAGGCGGUCGCUGGCUAUGGCGGAAUCCGCGGGAGAAGUGCGAGAAGUGCUUUACGAAGAACGUCGUCACGCCUCGAGGCCUUUCUCUUCCGAUUGCCUCCCUCUUUCUCUUCAACGGUCAAAUGGAGCCGAUAAAGGCGGGUUCUUAUCAUUUCUUUCCGCUCGAGGUGUAAGUCAGCUUAAAGAGAAAUGGAUUAGAUUCAAGAAUCCGAAGAAAAUGAGAAAACCGGUAUCUUUAUUUAUAUCCCCAAGAGGUGAGCGUGUCGCUGUGGCUGCUGGAAAUCAAGUCACUAUCUUGCGGAAGGAAGAUGAUUAUCAGGAGCCGUGUGGCAUUUUUACUAACAGCAGCCUUGUUUUGUAUGCGUGUGGAGCUUGGUCUGAAUCUCAUGAUAUUCUUGGAAUCGUUGAUGAUGCUGAUGUAAUAUAUUUUAUCAAGGCAAAUGGUGAAGAGAUAACAAGGAUUACAAAGAGGCAUUUAAAAAUAUCUUCAACAGUAAUAGGACUGCUUGCAGAGAAUGAUUUUGAAGUACAACAAUCUUUCUUCUUCACUGUUCUGACAUCUGAUGGAGCUUUUCAUCAUAUUGAGAUCAGUCAAGAGUCAAGUGCCUCUAUUUCUUCUGUGAACGAAAGUGGCUUAGCUUUAAAAAGGCAAUUCCCUCAGAAUGUUUUCUGCUUUGACUAUUAUCCAGAACUUUCCUUGCUUCUUGUUGUUGGCUCAAUCACUGCUAGUGGGAAAUCUGAAUCCUGUCAUAUUUCUCUGUGGCGUAAACAUCAGAAUUUGGUUCUGGAACCGAUAGCCUCUACUCAAUUUAAGGGCCUUUACUUUGAGCGAAAAGGUUAUGCAGGUCAUCUGGCCUACCCAAAGGUGUCUAUCUCACCCAAAGGGGAUUAUAUUGCCGCUUUAGAUAUGAAUGGUUGUUUGCAUAUAUUUAAGCUGGAUAAAGAAACCUAUUCAGUUACAAAUUUUGCUUUCCAAGCAAGAACUAACUCUGAUAGACCUUUAAAUGCAUGCACAGAUAUCUUAGUUGACAUUGUAGAUUUUACUUGGUGGUCUGAUCACGUUCUCACUCUUGCUAAAAAAAGUGGCUUUGUCGCGAUGCUUGACAUUGUUAGUGGUCUGAAACUAAUAGAGAAUGAACCUGUAUAUUCUAUGCCUGUUUUAGAAAGGGUGCAGAAGUUUGAAGGAAAUAUUUUUCUUUUAGAGGGGUUCUCAUCUGAAGAUAGGUUUGAUUCAUCUAAUAGUAAUAGAAGGACAGAUGAUUUGCAUCAUGGAGAGCAAACUCCUGAAAACAGAUCCAAUCAACCUGACAUUUCUAGAAUGCGUUGGAAUUUGGUAUCACUAUCAGAGAGAUCUGUUCCUGAAAUGUUUAAGAUUCUUAUUGGUAAUUCCAAGCAUCAAGCUGCUUUGGAAUUUUCUGAUCGUUAUCAGUUGGAUAGGGAUGAAGUUCUGAAGUCCCAGUGGUUGUGUUCUAACCAAGGAAUAAAUGACUUGAAUACAUUCUUGUCAAACAUUAAAGAUAAAGCUUUUGUGCUUUCAGAGUGUGUUGAUAAAGUUGGACCAUCAGAAGAAGCGGUGAAGGCUUUACUUGCUUAUGGGCUGCAGUUAACUAACUUUUACAAAUUUUCCGAACAAAACAACCAAAAAUUUGGUGAGAUUUGGGAUUUCCGUUUGGCUAGACUUCAGCUGUUGCAAUUCAGUGACAGGUUGGAAACAUUUCUUGGGAUAAACAUGGGCAGGUUUUCUGUUCAAGAAUAUAGCAAAUUCCGGGUUAUGCCAAUUGAUGAAUCUGCAAUUGCACUUGCUGAAAGUGGAAAAAUUGGGGCUUUAAACCUCUUGUUCAAGCGUCAUCCUUAUUCGCUGGCUCCCUUCAUGUUAGAUAUUUUGGAUGCAAUUCCUGAAACAAUACCUGUGCGAACAUAUGUGCAGCUUCUUCCUGGGAGGUUUCCUCCAAGAUUUUUUAUCAGGGAGGAAGAUUGGGUUGAAUGUGAUAAGAUGAUUUGUUUUAUUAGUAACUUACCCGAGAACCAGGAUAUUGAUAAUCAAAUUAGAACUGAACCUAUUGUCAAGCAGUUGCUAGGAUCUUUUUGGCCUUCAACUGCUGAACUUGCAUUUUGGUAUAAACAUAGAGCUAGAGAUAUUGAUUCCUACAGUGGGUUGCUGGACAACUGCCUCAGCUUGGUUGGCUUUGCUUGUCAGAAAGGUGUCAAUGAGUUAAAGCAGUUUCAUGAGGAUAUCUCAUAUCUGCACCAGUUGGUUUAUGCUAAUGAGAAUGAUGCUGAAAUUAGUACCAGUAUGAGUCUUGUUGCAUGGGAACAAUUAUCUGACUACGAGAAAUUUAGGACAAUGCUUGACGGAUGCAGAGAGGAAAAUGUGGUUGAAUCAUUGUGGAAUAAGGCAAUUCCAUUUAUGCAAAAAAGGUCCCGCAGGGUUUCCUUCGCUACCCAAGAGCAGAUUGCAGAUGGCCAUUCUCAGGUAGAUCGUACUAGGAGUGAGUCAUUCCUGGUUAGAUGGCUGAAGGAGAUGUCUUUGGUAAAUAAAUUAGAUGUAUGCUUGAUGGUCAUUGAGGAAGGUUGCAGGGAGCUCCAAAGCAGUGGCUUCUUCAAGGAUGAGGUUGAAGUUGUAGAUUGUGCUUUGCAAUGCCUAUAUUUAUUUACAGUCACAGAUAGGUGGAGUACCAUGGCUGCUAUAUUGUCAAAGCUUCCACAUAAGCAAGAUUCUGGAAUAUUUAUUGGCAACCUUGAUCAAAGGUGCAAAGUGGCAGAAGGACAUAUUGAAGCAGGGAGUCUUUUGGCUUUUUACCAGGUACCAAAACCAAUGAGUUAUUUCUUAGAAGCCCAUUCAGAUGAAAAGGGUGUAAAACAGAUUAUCCGCCUCAUACUUUCAAAAUUUAUUCGCCAACGGCCUGGCCGAUCAGAUAAUGAGUGGGCAGACUUGUGGCAUGAUAUGCAGUGCUUGCAUGAGGAGGCCUUUACAUUUCUGAACCUCGAAUAUUUGUUAACUGAAUUUUGUGGAGGACUGUUAAAAGCAGAGAAGUUUUCUCUGGCUAGAAGUUACUUAAAGGGUACAAGUUCAGUUGCCUUAGCAACAGAGAAAGCGGAGAAUCUUGUUAUUCAAGCUGCAAGGGAGUUUUUUUUCUCAGCUUCAAGUCUGGCUGGCUCAGAAAUCUGGAAGGCUAAGGAUUGCUUGAAUUUAUUUCCAAGUAGCAGAAAUGUAAAAGCGGAGGCUGAUUUUAUUGAUGCACUUACUGUUAAACUUCCAAACCUAGGAGUGACUCUUCUGCCUAUGCAAUUCCAGCAAAUAAAAGAUCCAAUGGAAAUUAUUAAAAUGGCAAUCAGAAAUAAAGCUGAAGCUUAUCUACAUGUUGAUGAACUAAUUGAGGUUGCAAAACUUCUAGGGUUGAGUUCCUUGGAUGAAAUAUCAGGUGUUCAGGAAGCUAUUGCUAGAGAAGCUGCAGUUACCGGUGAUCUGCAGUUGGCCUAUGAUCUCUGCCUUGUUCUGGCCAAAAGAGGUUAUGGUAUUAUUUGGGAUUUAUGUGCUGCUAUAGCAAGGGGUCCUUCUCUCGAGAAUUUGGACACAAGUUCUCGAAAACAGCUAUUGGGUUUUGCUUUGAGCCAUUGCGAUGAGGAAUCAAUUGGUGAGUUGCUCCAUGCAUGGAAAGACUUAGACAUGCAAGUGCAGUGUGAAACUUUGAUGACGUUGACAGGAAUUGAUUGUCCAAGUUUCUCAGUUCAAGGCUCCUCGGUCUUCUCACUUCCAGACUACAGUAUUCAAGAUAUUGUUGACCGUAAAAACUCCUCUGUACUGGUUAAAGGGUUUAGCAGUGUUGAUAAAAGAAGUCAUUUAAAUAGUAUUAAAAAUAUACUUUCUCUAGUUGCUAAAAGUCCUGCCGUGCAUGGGACGGAUUGGGAGCUUCUUUUGCAAGAAAAUGGGAAGAUUUUAUCUUUUGCUGCCGUACAACUCCCAUGGUUGCUUGAAUUAACUAGAAAACCAGAGCACUGUAAGAAAUUUACUUCUGGCAUGAUUCCUGGGAAGCAAUAUGUAAGUGUAAGAACGCAAGUUGUGAUAACUAUUUUGUCCUGGUUGGCAAGGAAUGAUUUUGCUCCCAGAGACGAUUUGAUUGCUUCUCUGGUAAAAUCCAUUAUAGAACCACCAGUUACUGAAGAGGAAGAUGUCAUCGGUUGCUCCUUCUUACUGAAUCUUGUGGAUGCUUUUAGUGGGGUAGAAUUAAUUGAAGAACAGCUUAAAACCAGGGAAAACUACCUAGAAACUUGUAGUAUCAAGAAUGUUAGAACGACAUAUAGCACAUUACAUAAUACUGGUGUUGAUUGUGAAGGUGCCGUUCAGAGGAGGGAGCUGCUCUUCAGGAAGUUUAAAGAGAAGAAUAAUGUCGGUACUAGAGUUUAUUCCUGUAGUGACGUAAACAAGAUUUAUGGAGUGCAGUCCUCAUUUUGGAAGGAAUGGGAACUGAAAUUAGAAGAGAAAAAAGCAUGUAACAGAUCAUUCUAGAUUGUUAGAGCAAGUAAUUCCUGGGGUUGGAACUGCACGUUUUUUGUGUGGUCAUGUCAGCUACAUUGAGAGUGUUGUUUUGAAGGAUAUGUUGAAAUUGGCCGAUACCUAUGGUUUGAACCAAGCUGAGGUACUGUAAUACUUUGGCACUUCCAUCCUCGUUUCCGAGAUUUGCACCGAUGAUGAUAUCAUGGCUGAGAUCUCAGAAAUUAGAGGAGAAAUACUUGGUUAUGCUCCUAGAACCAUCAAGACGAUAUCCUUGAUUGCAUAUCCUGCUGUUGAUGGUUGCAAUAAGCAGCAGCUUGCUUACAUUUAUAGCCUCCUCUCUGACUGUUAUAAGAAGUUAAGGAAAGUGAAGAACCUUCUCCAAUAAUGCUCCCACAUCAGCCCACAUGCAUUUGCUCGAGUUAUCUCAUUAUUACGAGGUUAUCAAGCAAGAAUGUAGAAGAAUUUCCUUUGUCAAGGACCUAAAUUUCCACAAUAUUGCUGGAUUAGGUGGUUUGAAUCUGCUAGAUUUUGGACCUAAAAUGGUAAUGACUCUGGUCAGCAUCUAUGUGAUGAAGUGCCUGAGGGUCUAAUAUCAUGGCAGGAUGUCCACAGACAUUUUGUACUGUGUGUAUUGACAAAUUUUAAGGAUAGAGUUAGAACGGAGUUUAGCACUAACAACCCGGAAAACUUUCAGAAAAGAACUAGUGAACUUGAGCAGAUGUAUGACUUGUGGAGAAUACAUAUCAAAAUGUUGGAACCAUCAGAGGCAUUGGACGUUAUGAAACAAUAUUUUAACUGUAAACAUACCUCCAUGUUGUGCUUAUGGGAAUAUACCUGAUAACUCAACAUGGCAGGACUGCAUCAUCUUCCUUUUGAAUUUCUGGAUCAGAUUGAAUGAGAAAUGCAAAAACAUGCUUCAUGGAAGAUUUUGGUUGAAAAUUGCUUAAUGAGUUGUUUAAAGGUUUUAAUGAGGUCGGUGAUGGAGGACUCUGUUUCUCCUAGUCAGGGCUGGAGCACCAUUAUUGACUGUGUGAACCAUGGUUUAAUUGGUGACUUCGGCUGACAUUUUCAUUUUCUGCAGUGCCAUGAUAUUUUUCUAUUUGUGGUUUUGGAGCUAUUUCAGAAGUAUUAGUUGCCCUUAAAUCAUCUCAGCUUCUAGCAGCCAUCUCUCCUGGUAUUGAAAAUUCCCCGGGUGACCUCUUGAAUGUUGAAUCAGCAGUUUCUUGCUUCUUGAAAUUGUGUGGAGUUGCCAAUGCAGAUAUACUCAUUUCGGCGUUUUGGUAGCCAUUUUGGAAGACUGGGAAGGCCUUUUGUGAUUAAGAAAGAAGAGGUAGCCUCUGCAGCAUUACCCGAUGCAGAAAAUGAUUGGAGCACUGAUGAUUGGGAUGAGGGGUGGGAGAGGUUGCAGGAAGUUCCUUCUUGAAGAUUUUCAAGCACCUUGAGAAUUUCUAAGUCCGGUGGAGUGUUUCUUGAUGAAGGCAAUGCAAGGAGCUCGACUGACAUUGUACUUGGAGUGGAUUGUCGUAUGGCUUCAAAGAUGAUGCUCUUACUGCCUUACGGAGAGUUGUGGUUGGAAUCUUUGAAUGCACUUGAAAACAAGUUGAAACAAGAAGGUAUGCCGGACAUGAUUGGUGGCGACCACGAGUUCAUAAUGCUAGUGCUGUCAUCUGGGGUUCUAUCAACUGUUAUCAACAAGUCUUUCUUAGGCACUGUUUUCUUGUAUGUCUGCUAUUUAGUAGGCAAUUUCUCUCACCGGUUUGAGGAAGCACAGUUAUCGGGCCUCAGAGAGAAAGGAACCCAUGAACCUGGACACAACGAGGUAGACAUCUUAUUUCCUUCUGCAAGAAGCUUGUCAAAGCCGAUCUGCCGAUUCUGACCGGAUUUCUUGUCACAAAAUUCAUGCACACCAAUGCUUCACUUGGCUUCAUCAAUGUCGUAGAGGGUAGUCUUUGAAGAUUUUUGGAGUCAACUCUGCGUGCUCGAACACAACUAGCUUGCCCUUGAGGAAUUGAGUUGUUGUGAACCAUUAAAAAGCACACUUUCAAACUUGAGAAGCAAAUUUGGUGUUUCAUUUCAAUCUGCCAUGUAAUUACUUUCUAAGAACGAAAGCAAAUAGAUAAGAAAAAGAAAUGAGUUCUGUAUGCCAUAUGAUAGACUUUGUAUAUAAACAAAAAUUUUACAUGGGUCAGUUACCAAACCUGGUAAAGAAAACGUUCAAAUCAAUUAAA